GGUGUGGCUCAGCUUGGCUAGAGCGCCUGGUUUGGGACCAGGAGGUCGCAGGUUCGAAUCCUGUCACC
rnacentral:tRNA from 60 species